UGAGAUUUUAACACGAAGUGAGUGGCGRACGGGUGAGUAACACGUGGGUAACCUGCCCAGAAGUAGGGGAUAACACCUGGAAACAGAUGCUAAUACCGUAUAACAGAGAAAACCGCCUGGUUUUCUUUUAAAAGAUGGCUCUGCUAUCACUUCUGGAUGGACCCGCGGCGYAUUAGCURGUUGGUGAGGUAAMGGCUCACCAAGGCRAUGAURCGUAGCCGACCUGAGAGGGUAAUCGGCCACAUUGGGACUGAGACACGGCCCAGACUCCUACGGGAGGCAGCAGUAGGGAAUCUUCCACAAUGGACGCAAGUCUGAUGGAGCAACGCCGCGUGAGUGAAGAAGGGUUUCGGCUCGUAAAGCUCUGUUGUUAAAGAAGAACGUGGGURAGAGUAACUGUUYACCCAGUGACGGUAUUUAACCAGAAAGCCACGGCUAACUACGUGCCAGCAGCCGCGGUAAUACGUAGGUGGCAAGCGUUAUCCGGAUUUAUUGGGCGUAAAGCGAGCGCAGGCGGUCUUUUAAGUCUAAUGUGAAAGCCUUC
rnacentral:rRNA from 1 species